rnacentral:lncRNA from 1 species
AUAUGAAGCUUCUGCAUGUGAUGAUGAAUGCUUAAUGAUGUUAUGAUAAGAGGCUUGCUUGGGCCUAAUGAGUUAUGCUUGUCUAGGUCUAUUCAUCGGUCACGAUUCUUAUAGGAAAUUAGAUGUGACAUAAGCAGAGGAGCAUCAUGGACAAAGAGGUCGAUGCCCCUCUUGCAACUCCUAAGGCUCAUAUUACUCAAUCAUUCGAUGAUGAUCAGACAUGCAACUCGAUGCUGUAUCCUUAGAUGCAUACAGGCUUAAAACGUGAGAUGAAACGGAUAAAGACGUAAUGGAAAAAUGACCUUCAGUCAUUGUAGAUGGAGAUCCAAUCAGAGAUGCAACUGUAGAUGCAGUCAAUUCUGCUAGAGGUCCAACGGGAGAUGUAGCUGCAGAUGCAGUGAAUGUAGCUAGAGAUCUAGCAGGAGAUGCAAGGGUUGAAGGACUGGAUUGAAUGUCAACUGCUUGACAAUGUUGAGGUAUGAGCUUUUAGCUUUUUUCGUUGUGUGACUUAUAGCAUUUAGUAUCUAUUUGAUGUUUUAAUGUGUUUAAUUUUUGUCACUAUGUAGAGUCGGUCUAUCGAUCAAUAGGAUGGUGCAUGCAAUGAAGAGGGCGAUGCUCACAAGGUUGAUCUUGAUGAGCCAACUGGUAUUAAUGAGCCAAUUGGUUUAGCUCAAAGCUCACCUUCUUCUACCCCAUGCACGACUCCUCAUAACUCAAGUUUGACUAAGGCCCAACAUCCUGCUUGUAGCCUAACUCCACCCGAGGCCCUACAGAAUGCUUAGAGCACACCUUUUCUUGAGGUUACACUUCGGCCUCCAAUUAAAAUGCAUUGCUUAGCAUGGGAAGCAAAUACCUUUAGAGCCCAUAUGUUAACCCAUUAUUUGUAAAACCCGACCCUAUAAACAGAUGUCAUGAUUUACAUGCACUGAGUAGCAUGUUAUUAUACUAGGAAAGCACCUAAGAAUAGACGAAACCCGAUAUCGUACCUAACGGUACACUUGAGUUGAUUUAACCUC